ACGGAGGGUGCAAGCGUUAAUCGGAAUUACUGGGCGUAAAGCGCACGCAGGCGGUUUGUUAAGUCAGAUGUGAAAUCCCCGGGCUCAACCUUGGAACUGCAUCUGAUACUGGCAAACUUGAGUCUCGUAGAGGGGGGUAGAAUUCCAGGUGUAGCGGUGAAAUGCGUAGAUAUGCGGAGGAAUACCGAUGGCGAAGGCAGCCUCCUGGGCUAAGACUGACGCUCAUGCGCGAAAGCGUGGGGAGCAAACAG
rnacentral:rRNA from 1 species